rnacentral:rRNA from 8 species
GGUUAAGCGACUAAGCGUACACGGUGGAUGCCCUGGCAGUCAGAGGCGAUGAAGGACGUGCUAAUCUGCGAUAAGCGUCGGUAAGGUGAUAUGAACCGUUAUAACCGGCGAUUUCCGAAUGGGGAAACCCAGUGUGAUUCGUCACACUAUCAUUAACUGAAUCCAUAGGUUAAUGAGGCGAACCGGGGGAACUGAAACAUCUAAGUACCCCGAGGAAAAGAAAUCAACCGAGAUUCCCCCAGUAGCGGCGAGCGAACGGGGAGCAGCCCAGAGCCUGAAUCAGUGUGUGUGUUAGUGGAAGCGUCUGGAAAGGCGUGCGAUACAGGGUGACAGCCCCGUACACAAAAAUGCACAUACUGUGAGCUCGAUGAGUAGGGCGGGACACGUGGUAUCCUGUCUGAAUAUGGGGGGACCAUCCUCCAAGGCUAAAUACUCCUGACUGACCGAUAGUGAACCAGUACCGUGAGGGAAAGGCGAAAAGAACCCCGGCGAGGGGAGUGAAAAAGAACCUGAAACCGUGUACGUACAAGCAGUGGGAGCACGCUUAGGCGUGUGACUGCGUACCUUUUGUAUAAUGGGUCAGCGACUUAUAUUCUGUAGCAAGGUUAACCGAAUAGGGGAGCCGAAGGGAAACCGAGUCUUAACUGGGCGUUAAGUUGCAGGGUAUAGACCCGAAACCCGGUGAUCUAGCCAUGGGCAGGUUGAAGGUUGGGUAACACUAACUGGAGGACCGAACCGACUAAUGUUGAAAAAUUAGCGGAUGACUUGUGGCUGGGGGUGAAAGGCCAAUCAAACCGGGAGAUAGCUGGUUCUCCCCGAAAGCUAUUUAGGUAGCGCCUCGUGAAUUCAUCUCCGGGGGUAGAGCACUGUUUCGGCAAGGGGGUCAUCCCGACUUACCAACCCGAUGCAAACUGCGAAUACCGGAGAAUGUUAUCACGGGAGACACACGGCGGGUGCUAACGUCCGUCGUGAAGAGGGAAACAACCCAGACCGCCAGCUAAGGUCCCAAAGUCAUGGUUAAGUGGGAAACGAUGUGGGAAGGCCCAGACAGCCAGGAUGUUGGCUUAGAAGCAGCCAUCAUUUAAAGAAAGCGUAAUAGCUCACUGGUCGAGUCGGCCUGCGCGGAAGAUGUAACGGGGCUAAACCAUGCACCGAAGCUGCGGCAGCGACGCUUAUGCGUUGUUGGGUAGGGGAGCGUUCUGUAAGCCUGUGAAGGUGUGCUGUGAGGUAUGCUGGAGGUAUCAGAAGUGCGAAUGCUGACAUAAGUAACGAUAAAGCGGGUGAAAAGCCCGCUCGCCGGAAGACCAAGGGUUCCUGUCCAACGUUAAUCGGGGCAGGGUGAGUCGACCCCUAAGGCGAGGCCGAAAGGCGUAGUCGAUGGGAAACAGGUUAAUAUUCCUGUACUUGGUGUUACUGCGAAGGGGGGACGGAGAAGGCUAUGUUGGCCGGGCGACGGUUGUCCCGGUUUAAGCGUGUAGGCUGGUUUUCCAGGCAAAUCCGGAAAAUCAAGGCCGAGGCGUGAUGACGAGGCACUACGGUGCUGAAGCAACAAAUGCCCUGCUUCCAGGAAAAGCCUCUAAGCAUCAGGUAACAUCAAAUCGUACCCCAAACCGACACAGGUGGUCAGGUAGAGAAUACCAAGGCGCUUGAGAGAACUCGGGUGAAGGAACUAGGCAAAAUGGUGCCGUAACUUCGGGAGAAGGCACGCUGAUACGUAGGUGAAGCGACUUGCUCGUGGAGCUGAAAUCAGUCGAAGAUACCAGCUGGCUGCAACUGUUUAUUAAAAACACAGCACUGUGCAAACACGAAAGUGGACGUAUACGGUGUGACGCCUGCCCGGUGCCGGAAGGUUAAUUGAUGGGGUUAGCGCAAGCGAAGCUCUUGAUCGAAGCCCCGGUAAACGGCGGCCGUAACUAUAACGGUCCUAAGGUAGCGAAAUUCCUUGUCGGGUAAGUUCCGACCUGCACGAAUGGCGUAAUGAUGGCCAGGCUGUCUCCACCCGAGACUCAGUGAAAUUGAACUCGCUGUGAAGAUGCAGUGUACCCGCGGCAAGACGGAAAGACCCCGUGAACCUUUACUAUAGCUUGACACUGAACAUUGAGCCUUGAUGUGUAGGAUAGGUGGGAGGCUUUGAAGUGUGGACGCCAGUCUGCAUGGAGCCGACCUUGAAAUACCACCCUUUAAUGUUUGAUGUUCUAACGUGGACCCGUGAUCCGGGUUGCGGACAGUGUCUGGUGGGUAGUUUGACUGGGGCGGUCUCCUCCUAAAGAGUAACGGAGGAGCACGAAGGUUGGCUAAUCCUGGUCGGACAUCAGGAGGUUAGUGCAAUGGCAUAAGCCAGCUUGACUGCGAGCGUGACGGCGCGAGCAGGUGCGAAAGCAGGUCAUAGUGAUCCGGUGGUUCUGAAUGGAAGGGCCAUCGCUCAACGGAUAAAAGGUACUCCGGGGAUAACAGGCUGAUACCGCCCAAGAGUUCAUAUCGACGGCGGUGUUUGGCACCUCGAUGUCGGCUCAUCACAUCCUGGGGCUGAAGUAGGUCCCAAGGGUAUGGCUGUUCGCCAUUUAAAGUGGUACGCGAGCUGGGUUUAGAACGUCGUGAGACAGUUCGGUCCCUAUCUGCCGUGGGCGCUGGAGAACUGAGGGGGGCUGCUCCUAGUACGAGAGGACCGGAGUGGACGCAUCACUGGUGUUCGGGUUGUCAUGCCAAUGGCACUGCCCGGUAGCUAAAUGCGGAAGAGAUAAGUGCUGAAAGCAUCUAAGCACGAAACUUGCCCCGAGAUGAGUUCUCCCUGACCCUUUAAGGGUCCUGAAGGAACGUUGAAGACGACGACGUUGAUAGGCCGGGUGUGUAAGCGCAGCGAUGCGUUGAGCUAACCGGUACUAAUGAACCGUGAGGCUUAACCUU